UCUGACGGAGCAACGCCGCGUGAACGAAGAAGGUCUUCGGAUUGUAAAGUUCUGUGAUUCGGGACGAAAGGGUUUGUGGUGAAUAAUCAUAGACAUUGACGGUACCGAAAAAGCAAGCCACGGCUAACUACGUGCCAGCAGCCGCGGUAAUACGUAGGUGGCAAGCGUUGUCCGGAAUUAUUGGGCGUAAAGCGCGCGCAGGCGGUUUCUUAAGUCCAUCUUAAAAGCGUGGGGCUCAACCCCAUGAGGGGAUGGAAACUGGGAAGCUGGAGUAUCGGAGAGGAAAGUGGAAUUCCUAGUGUAGCGGUGAAAUGCGUAGAGAUUAGGAAGAACACCGGUGGCGAAGGCGACUUUCUAGACGAAAACUGACGCUGAGGCGCGAAAGCGUGGGGAGCAAACAGGAUUAGAUACCCUGGUAGUCCACGCCGUAAACGAUGGAUACUAGGUGUAGGAGGUAUCGACCCCUCCUGUGCCGGAGUUAACGCAAUAAGUAUCCCGCCUGGGGAAGUACGAUCGCAAGAUUAAAAUCAAAGGAAUUGACGGGGGCCCGCACAAGCGGUGGAGUAUGUGGUUUAAUUCGACGCAACGCGAGAACCUACCAGCUGAC
rnacentral:rRNA from 1 species